rnacentral:rRNA from 1 species
UAGUCACGAGUUUGAUCAUGGCUCAGAUUGAACGCUGGCGGCAUGGUUAAAACAUGCAAGUCGAACGAUCCCUUCGGGGAGAGUGGCGAAAGGGCGAGUAAUGCGAUCGUACGUGCCCCCGAGGUGGGGGAGUAGCGUCGGGAAACUGACGGUAAUACCCCACUGUCCUCUACGGAGAAAAGGUUUAACCGCCUUGGAGCGGCGAUCGUCCUAUCAGGUAGUUGGUGUGGUAAUGGCGCACCAAGCCGAAGACGGGUAGCGGGUGUGAGAGCAUGACCCGCCGCAUCGGGACUGAGACACUGCCCGGACUCCUACGGGAGGCUGCAGUAACGAAUCUUCCGCAAUGGGCGAAAGCCUGACGGAGCAAUGCCGCGUGUGGGAUGAAGCGUCUUCGACGUGUAAACCACUGUCAGGGAAUAGAAACAAUGAUCAUUCCCAAAGGAAGGGCCGGCUAAUCUCGUG